rnacentral:lncRNA from 1 species
CAGGCGCGGUGGCUCACGCCUGUAAUCCCAGCACUUUGGGAGACGAAGAUGGGCAGAUCUUCAUCAAGGUCAAGAGAUCGAGACCAUCCUGGCCAAUAUGGUGAAACCCCGUCUCUACUAAAAAUACAAAAAUUAUCUGGGCGUGGUGGCACGCGCCUGUAGUCCCAGCUACUCGGGAGGCUGAGGCACGAGAAUCACUUGAACCCGGGAGGAAGAGGUUGCAGUGAGCCAAGAUCACACCACUGCACUCCAGCCCGUACGAUACAGUGAGACCCCGUCUCAAAAAAAAAAAAAAGAAAAAGUUGCAUGUAGGCCAAGUGCAGUGGCUCACACCUGUAAUCUCAGCACUUUGGGAGGCCCAGGUGGGCAGACGACCUGAGGUCAGGAGUUCAAGACCAGCCUGGGCAACAUGGUGAAACCUCAUCUCUACAAUUAAUAAAAAUACAGGCCGGGCACGGUGGCUCAAGCCUGUAAUCCCAGCACUUUGGGAGGCUGAGGCGGGCAAAUCGUUUGAGGCCAGGAGUUCAAAACCAGCCUGGCCAACAUGGCAAAACUCAUCUCUACUAAAAAUACAAAGAAAAUAGCCAGGCAUGGUGGCACACACCUGUAAUCCCAGCUACUCAGGAGGCUGAGGCAUGAGAAUUGCUUGAACCUGGAAGGCAGACAUUGGAGUGAGCUGAGAUCUUCCCACUGCACUCCAGCCUGGGUGACAUAGCUAGACUGUCUCAAAAAAAAAAAAAAAAAGAAUGAACACUUAAAUAUUUGUGGCAGAUAGAGGUGUUAUUUGCAUAUGGAAGAAAAUUGCUUUAGAAAUGAAAUUUCAGAUUACUGAAACUAAAGAGAAAGUAUCUCUUCUUAUCAUGGUACCAAGCUUGAGGGUGCAUAAGUCACCUAUAGACGUAGAGAUUGUAGUAUAGGACCUGGGAAUAUUACAUUAUUUGCUCCCAUGUUUACUGUUUUGUUCUAAGCCUUUAGCACAGCAUUCAAAACAAGUUGAGCACUCAGUAAACAUUUGCUGACUCAGUACUUGGAGAACCUAGGUAGAGUAGAAUGAUGGGAAUCAAAAGGAAAACAGUAUUCUGUUAGAGAUCAGCAAUAUCUUACACUAGUAGAGGGAUCUGUGAGAAAAAGAAUCAAGACCAUUGAAUGUGUGGCGGCUUAUAGCAUUUGACAUUCUGAUCUGUGCACGUGAUGAGAAAAAAAGUCUGAUUACAGAACAGGGAAGGAGAGAAAUAAGCAUUGAGUUUCAUUUUUUGUUUGUUUUUGAGACAGGUUCUCACUGUUACCCAGCCUGGAGUGCAGUGGUACAAUUGUAGCUCACUGCAGCCUGGACCUCCUGGGAUCAAGGGAUUCCCCCAACCUCAGCCUCCCAAGUAGCUGGGACUAUAGAAAUGCAACACCAUGCCCAGAUAAUUUAAUUUUUUUUUUUUUUUUUUUUUUUUUCUAAUUUUUUUUUUUUUUUUUUUUUUUUUUUUUUUUUUUUUUUGAGACAG